rnacentral:lncRNA from 1 species
GCUGUCAUAAUGAUUCUAUGAUUUCCUAUGGCAGAAUGACAGAUUGAUAGAAAUAGAUGAGAAACUAUACUUGUUCACCCAUUUAUUUUGCCAUGUUGAAGGCACUGGCUCCUUGUUUUGAAAGAAGGUCGUUUUGGAAGUUCUAUAUAUAGGAAUUUAAAAAUUGGUGGGCUAAAUAUGUAUCAUCUCUAAAGCGGUUUUCUUAAAAUUGUGAUUAGUAGCAUUAUUGAGGUACAAACCCCACUCAGCUAAAAAAGUGAAAUCGAAUAAAAUAGAAUAUUAGAGUGAAUUGAAUGAGGUAAGGGUAUUUUUAAUGACAGCAUUGCUUCUGUUAUGAAUGCAUACUUAUAUAUGUAUUGAGUCAUGAGCUAAAAUGCAUUUUUCCUACCAUGAUUAAAAAUAAAAUUAUUUUCUAGUUAUGUUAUUAGGUUUAAAAACAGUCUAAUCUUUAAAAACUGCCCUUGAUCAAAUACAAGUCAUCUAUUUUGAAAGUGAGGAGUUUUGUUUUUGCUUUUUAGUGCUAGUUAUCUCCUUUGUACAGAUACCUAAUACAGGAGUAUUUUUCUUUCAAAUCAAUCAACAAUUAAGGUAGUCUUAAUGGACAUUUGUUUUAGUUUAUAUGCUGUUAACAUCCAUGACUGUGGUUCCUGGUGGCUUAUGCUUGAGAUAAUUUUUAAAGUAACAGUGAUAUUUACCUUCUCUAUUUAAUUUGCUCACUGCUAGCUUCCUGGUGCUCAUUUAGAAUAAAUACACCUCUCAUCUAUUUUUCUCGAUAGUAUACUGUUACCUGUUUCAGAAAGAUUUAUUAUCAGCUUAUCUUUUCCAGAUGUUAAUAUUUGCGUCAUUCUGUCUGCAUUAACUGCAGUCUAUUAUUGAUCAGCAUUGGCUCAAGCCAGCAGCAGGUGUACAGGACACGAGUAAGGAUGGCCUCCUCUCAAAGGUAGUGUUUCUGCUUAUCCACUUGCUCUGUGACCCUUUCCUGAGAAGGUUUCUGGGAUAUAUAUAUGGAAGUAAGAGAAGGAACUCUAACCUGAUCAUGGAUUUCGAAGAGAGACUCCUCAAAGCACGAAGGAAAAGAUAACAA